rnacentral:tRNA from 1 species
GGCCUUGUGGUGUAUGGCAUGUUGGAUUGCAAGUCCAGAGGAGCAGGUUAGACCCCUGCCGGGGCCU